UGUGAUGCCCCUCAAGGUGGUCACCUUCCUAGCAGGCCCAAGCCUCAAGCUCUGGCUCAGCGCAGCAGAUGCCAACGAACUCCCAUGAAUUCUACAGCUACAAGAAAAUGAACUCUCUGACCCCUUAGGCAUGUGAACCUCUCUCUUUGGCCACACCUGCGCCUUGGAGCCCGGCCCUAGUCAGCACCCAGACUCAGAGCCUCGGGACACCCUAAGCCACGGGUGCCCAGCCCUUGGCUUGCCCGGGCUGUGUUGAGCGAAGAGGAAUUGUCUUACGCCACAUACAAAAUAUAGAAUAUAGUUAGUGUGUCUCAGUCACAACAUUCCUUUAAAAAUAUUCUUAUUAUAACAUUAAAAUGAAAUGACACAAGCCCACAUUGAACAAUUGAAUAAGAAAACUUACGUGUCUGCUUAAUAACAAUAAAUAAAUGCCUGUCUUCACCGGCACACAUACGAG
rnacentral:lncRNA from 1 species